AAGCUCUCGUCAUCCGAGAUUCCGAGAAGAAGACCAUCCCUUCAGAGCAGCUGGUGGUGGGGGACAUUGUGGAGGUCAAAGGAGGAGACCAGAUCCCUGCAGACAUCAGGGUGCUGUCUUCUCAGGGGUGUCGGUGGAUAACUCAUCUCUCACGGGGGAGUCUGAGCCCCAGCCCCGCUCCUCUGAGUUUACCCAUGAAAACCCCCUGGAA
rnacentral:lncRNA from 1 species